GACGAACGCUGGCGGCGUGCUUAACACAUGCAAGUCGAACGGAAAGGCCCUGCUUUUGUGGGGUGCUCGAGUGGCGAACGGGUGAGUAACACGUGAGUAACCUGCCCUUGACUUUGGGAUAACUUCAGGCAACUGGGGCUAAUACCGGAUAGGAGCUCCUGCUGCAUGGUGGGGGUUGGAAAGUUUCGGCGGUUGGGGAUGGACUCGCGGCUUAUCAGCUUGUUGGUGGGGUAGUGGCUUACCAAGGCUUUGACGGGUAGCCGGGCUGAGAGGGUGACCGGCCAAACUGGGACGGAGCUACGGCCCAGACUCGUACGGGAGGCAGGAGUGGGGAAUAGUGCACAAUGGGCGGAAGCCUGAUGCAGCAACGCCGCGUGCGGGAUGACGGCCUUCGGGUUGGAAACCGCUUUCGCCUGUGACGAAGCGUGAGUGACGGUAAUGGGUAAAGAAGCACCGGCUAACUACGUG
rnacentral:rRNA from 1 species